GACGAACGCUGGCGGCGUGCUUAACACAUGCAAGUCGAACGGAAAGGCCCUGCUUUUGUGGGGUGCUCGAGUGGCGAACGGGUGAGUAACACGUGAGUAACCUGCCCUUGACUUUGGGAUAACUUCAGGAAACUGGGGCUAAUACCGGAUAGGAGCUCCUGCUGCUUGGUGGGGGUUGGAAAGUUUCGGCGGUUGGGGAUGGACUCGCGGCUUAUCAGCUUGUUGGUGGGGUAGUGGCUUACCAAGGCUUUGACGGGUAGCCGGCCUGAGAGGGUGACCGGCCAAAUUGGAACUGAGAUGCGGCCCAGACUCCUACGGGAGGCAGCAGUGGAGAAUAUUGCACAAUGGGCGGAAGCAUGAUGCAGCAACGCCGCGUGCGGGAUGACGGCCUUCGGGUUGUAAACCGCUUUCGUCUGUGACGAAGCGUGAGUGACGGUAAUGGGUAAAGAAGCACCGGCUAACUACGUG
rnacentral:rRNA from 1 species